UCCCACGCUGGUCUCUCGAGUUACACUCCACAAAUGGGCAGGAGAUGAGGUCAUCAUGAAGUAACAUAUAUUCUUUGCUCAACAAAUUGUUCUUCAUCUGUUAGGAUUUGUUGAAUGUUUUCAGGGUUUGACAGAUACUCACUUUGCUUGUGGAUUAUGGCUUCUGUUGUCAAUGUUAGAUUACACCGGAUUGGGAACCAAGAUUGGUUGAUGAAUUACCGACUAUUACUGCAUGGUUGACCUUGACUAAUGGACAUAGUUUUUCGAUAAUAGUGUUGAAAGAAAGGAUUAAUCAAGACUUCACGUUCGCGACGAGUAAACGCCAUCAGAUAAUUACUUCUCCCCAGACCCUGCUCCAAACACGAAACGCUCACCUGACGUGACCAAAGUUCACGGAAACAUAAUUCGCUUAAUCACUUUGUUCAUGUACAAGUGCAACAGACAUGGAGCAACUCAAUCCCAACAUCUUGCAAGAACUUAGGCAAGCUGAGGAAAUGGUUGUCAGAGGAGAACUCUACCCUAACAAUCAGGAAGCCCAGAAACGAGAAUUCCUGGCCCAAGCUAAAGUGGCAAUAAAGUUUGCUUUAGAGGUUCUUGAUGCCAUGGAAAGCAAACUACCACCUGACCCAAAUCCUCAACCUAGGAAAAGGAAAAAGGCCACCUGAAAGAGCAUGGUUAAUAUCAAGAGAAUUGGUCGCCUUGCUGUAAGGGCAUGUUUACUAAGUCUCAUUAUUUAGUUGUUAAGUUGAUUACUUCAGACAUAAAAGGUAUCUAACAAUUUUUUUGGAAACUUUCCAGAGAUAUUCCUUACCAAUGUCUGUUUUUUAAAAAUACAAUUAAAAGAUAGUUCACUGUGCUUGUUUAAGAGAUAUGGUGGGUAAAACAAAUUUUUUAGACUGUAUUUAUGACCAGCUAUAGGCUGUGAUUUUAUUCAUACUGUCUAUGAACUACAGCUUCACCAAAAAGUAAUGUUUUUUUUUUUCAGUCUCAUGAAGUGUAAAUUAGGUCCUAUAGCACUUUUUUGAAGUAUUUGCUGCCAUGACUUUAGAGAAUGUACUUAUGACCAGCUAUAGGCUGUGAUUUUUUGUACUAUCGAUAAACUAUGGUUUAGCUUUGAACUAAUCUUUCCUCAGUGUCAUGAACUGUAAAUUAGUUGCUACAGCCCUUUUUAGUAAUAUUUGCUGCCACGACUUUAGAGAAUGUACUUAUGACCAGCUAUAGGCUGUGAUAUUUCUGUACUAUCAGUAAACUAUGGAUUAGCUUUUAACUAAACUUUUCUCAAUGCCUUGAACUGUAAAUUAGUUGCUAUAGAAUUUUUUAGAAGUACUUGCUGCCAUGACUUUAGAAAAUGUACUUAUGACCAGCUAUAGGAUGUGAUAUUUCUGUACUUUCAAUAAACCAUGGCUUAGCUUGGAACUAA
rnacentral:lncRNA from 1 species